GCUUCCAGGGAGAAUUGAACUCUCGACCUCCUGUUUACUAGACAGGCGCUCUACCACUGAGCUAUGGAAGCU
rnacentral:tRNA from 1 species